UCUGCCACCCCAGCCUAUGUCCCUGCAGUCCCCACAAUGUCCUCUCCCUGACCAGGAAAGGACGCCCCUAGAGGGUGGCAGCAUGUGGCUUCCUAGUGCCGGGUACUGGCUCCCUCCAGGAUACCUGGACUGGCUCUGCAGGAAGCCAGCAUCAUGGGCAAAUGAAAGCAGGAAAGUUUGGGAAUUUUAGAUGAAAAGAGACCAGAGAGAUCCAGCAACCAAAAGUUCACCUCACCUGAAUCCUGCCUGGUUCAAAAGAAAAAAACAAAAACAGACAAACAAAAAUCAGCAUGAAGAGGCUACUGUGGAAGGAGGCACCUGCCCCAUCCAAUUCUUGGAGCCACAGCGGCGUGCCUGGUACAAAGUGGU